AUUGAACGCUGGCGGCAUGCCUAACACAUGCAAGUCGAACGGGGUAGCAAUACCCAGUGGCGGACGGGUGAGGAAUACAUAGGAAUUUGCCUUUAGGUGGGGGAUAGCCCGGGGAAACUCGGAGUAAUACCGCAUGAUGUCGAAAGACCAAAGUAGGGGAUCGCAAGACCUUGCGCCUUUAGAGAAGCCUAUGUCUGAUUAGCUAGUUGGUAGGGUAAUGGCCUACCAAGGCGACGANCAGUAACUGGUCUGAGAGGACGAUCAGUCACACCGGAACUGAGACACGGUCCGGACUCCUACGGGAGGCAGCAGUGGGGAAUAUUGGACAAUGGGCGAAAGCCUGAUCCAGCAAUGCCGCGUGUGUGAAGAAGGCCGUU
rnacentral:rRNA from 1 species